rnacentral:rRNA from 1 species
UACGGGGGGAGCAAGCGUUGUUCGGAUUUACUGGGCGUAAAGGGCGCGUAGGCGGCAUGGGAAGUAAGGUGUGAAAUCCAUCUGCUCAACGGGUGGGGUGCAUUUUAGACUGCCAAGCUUGAGGUCGGUAGAGGGGGGUAGAAUUGCUGGUGUAGCGGUGAAAUGCGUAGAGAUCAGCAGGAAUACCCGUGGCGAAGGCGGCCCCCUGGGCCGUACCUGACGCUGAGGCGCGAAGGCUAGGGGAGCGAACGGG